GCCAUGCCGCGUGCGGGAAGAAGGCCUUCGGGUUGUAAACCGCUUUUGUCAGGGAAGAAACGCUSUGGGCUAAUACCCCGGGGUAAUGACGGUACCUGAAGAAUAAGCACCGGCUAACUACGUGCCAGCAGCCGCGGUAAUACGUAGGGUGCAAGCGUUAAUCGGAAUUACUGGGCGUAAAGCGUGCGCAGGCGGUURUGCAAGACAGAUGUGAAAUCCCCGGGCUCAACCUGGGAACUGCAUUUGUGACUGCAYRGCUKGAGUGCGGCAGAGGGGGAUGGAAUUCCGCGUGUAGCAGUGAAAUGCGUAGAUAUGCGGAGGAACACCGAUGGCGAAGGCAAUCCCCUGGGCCUGCACUGACGCUCAUGCACGAAAGCGUGGGGAGCAAACAGGAUUAGAUACCCUGGUAGUCCACGCCCUAAACGAUGUCAACUGGUUGUUGGAGGGGUUYCYUCUCAGUAACGAAGCUAACGCGUGAAG
rnacentral:rRNA from 1 species